UCCAUUAUCUGCUACCCAGAGAUUGCCGCACUGAACCGAUGAUACACAUGCUAGCAUGAAGCCUGGCACACUAACACAGCAGAACUGGACAUACACAUCCGAAGAAGCAGCACAUGGUGGAAGAGGAGAUACGUCCGUACACUAGUCCUCAGUGGGGAUGUCCCCAGUUACCCCGAAAGUUGCAGAGACAAGUAUGUGGCAAUUUGGGCUGAGCAUGAAAAGCAAAACAGGAGGAAGUUACAAGGUCCUUCACAAGCUGACAAAUAAGACUGUAGGAGAAAAUCGACUGAAAAGUUUUUGGACCAAAAUCCUUGGAAGCAAAUUUUGGAAUCGGGUGCUUUCUCCCUGGCUAUAUGCUACAAAUAGUUCUUUUUCUUCAAAUCAAAAUGGAACCUGAAUGCCAGGCCAAGAACACUGCUGGUGAUAACUAUCUUUGCCUUGUAUGAGGCAAGUGGGAGUAUCUCAGGUGCUAAGGUCCCAGCCAUUUGACACCCAAUAGAUCAGAAAAAAAGUUUACAUUCAUACCAGUCAUUGUAGGUCCCAGAGCAGCAAUAAUUUCUUUGACAUUUGAAGGGGUGCUUAAGUUGUUAAAAUUCUGAAUCUGUUUAAUUUUCCAAACUGAGUAAAAUUAUAGCCCUGCAGAUAACCUUGCAGUAAUUUAUUCUGAAGCUACAAGUGUAUGGACCACUGUAGGGGUUAAAACUGAAAAAAAAAAUUAUGAGCCAUAUAUAGAUGUAUUAUGGUAAAUUGCACAUAAUUGCAUCUACCUUUUGAUCUACUACCAAAUCAGUAAAAAUGGAGAACAUUUGCUGUGCUUGAAGACAUAAGGUGGAGUUUCAUGAAGACAGUAGAAAGCUUAAAGCAGGCAAUCAGUCAGGUUUACUAGACUGUAUGGAUAAAGUCUGUUGCUGGCCAUAAAGAAUUCUGCAUGGAUUUAGAAGUAAUUUUGGAAAGAUUGUUAAUCUGAAUGCUAGUAAAUACAGGUAUGUGGCUAAUAUUGUACAUUUCUUUGGUUUUAGCAUGAAUUUGACCAUAGAGGGGAAAAAAAAGAAGAAAAAAGAA